CCGGUAAACGGCGGCCGUAACUAUAACGGUCCUAAGGUAGCGAAAUUCCUUGUCGGGUAAGUUCCGACCUGCACGAAUGGCGUAAUGAUGGCCAGGCUGUCUCCACCCGAGACUCAGUGAAAUUGAACUCGCUGUGAAGAUGCAGUGUACCCGCGGCAAGACGGAAAGACCCCGUGAACCUUUACUAUAGCUUGACACUGAACAUUGAGCCUUGAUGUGUAGGAUAGGUGGGAGGCUUAGAAGUGUGGACGCCAGUCUGCAUGGAGCCGACCUUGAAAUACCACCCUUUAAUGUUUGAUGUUCUAACGUUGACCCGUGAUCCGGGUUGCGGACAGUGUCUGGUGGGUAGUUUGACUGGGGCGGUCUCCUCCUAAAGAGUAACGGAGGAGCACGAAGGUUGGCUAAUCCUGGUCGGACAUCAGGAGGUUAGUGCAAUGGCAUAAGCCAGCUUGACUGCGAGCGUGACGGCGCGAGCAGGUGCGAAAGCAGGUCAUAGUGAUCCGGUGGUUCUGAAUGGAAGGGCCAUCGCUCAACGGAUAAAAGGUACUCCGGGGAUAACAGGCUGAUACCGCCCAAGAGUUCAUAUCGACGGCGGUGUUUGGCACCUCGAUGUCGGCUCAUCACAUCCUGGGGCUGAAGUAGGUCCCAAGGGUAUGGCUGUUCGCCAUUUAAAGUGGUACGCGAGCUGGGUUUAGAACGUCGUGAGACAGUUCGGUCCCUAUCUGCCGUGGGCGCUGGAGAACUGAGGGGGGCUGCUCCUAGUACGAGAGGACCGGAGUGGACGCAUCACUGGUGUUCGGGUUGUCAUGCCAAUGGCACUGCCCGGUAGCUAAAUGCGGAAGAGAUAAGUGCUGAAAGCAUCUAAGCACGAAACUUGCCCCGAGAUGAGUUCUCCCUGACCCUUUAAGGGUCCUGAAGGA
rnacentral:rRNA from 1 species